UGAGGAAUAUUGGACAAUGGGCGCAAGCCUGAUCCAGCAAUGCCGCGUGCAGGAUGAAGGCCUUCGGGUUGUAAACUGCUUUUGUACGGAGCGAAAAGGUCUGCCCUAAUACGGUGGGCUCAUGACGGUACCGUAAGAAUGAGCACCGGCUAACUACGUGCCAGCAGCCGCGGUAAUACGUAGGGUGCAAGCGUUAAUCGGAAUUACUGGGCGUAAAGCGUGCGCAGGCGGUUGUGUAAGACAGAUGUGAAAUCCCCGGGCUCAACCUGGGAACUGCAUUUGUGACUGCACAGCUGGAGUGCGGCAGAGGGGGAUGGAAUUCCGCGUGUAGCAGUGAAAUGCGUAGAUAUGCGGAGGAACACCGAUGGCGAAGGCAAUCCCCUGGGCCUGCACUGACGCUCAUGCACGAAAGCGUGGGGAGCAAACA
rnacentral:rRNA from 1 species